rnacentral:rRNA from 1 species
UACGAAGGGGGCUAGCGUUGCUCGGAAUCACUGGGCGUAAAGGGUGCGUAGGCGGGUCUUUAAGUCAGGGGUGAAAUCCGUGGAGCUCAACUCCAGAACUGCCUUUGAUACUGAGGAUCUUGAGUUCGGGAGAGGUGAGUGGAACUGCGAGUGUAGAGGUGAAAUUCGUAGAUAUUCGCAAGAACACCAGUGGCGAAGGCGGACUCAC